rnacentral:snoRNA from 13 species
UUGGCUGUGAUGAUUAUAAAAAUUCAUCGUUCUGAAUGCUAUAGCCAUGGCUUGACAGACUCAUUUACACCCAUAGAAUAUGAGCACC